rnacentral:rRNA from 1 species
GUCCACGCCGUAAACGAUGGGUGCUAGCCGUCGGCAAGUUUACUUGUCGGUGGCGCAGCUAACGCAUUAAGCACCCCGCCUGGGGAGUACGAUCGCAAGAUUAAAACUCAAAGGAAUUGACGGGGGCCCCGCACAAGCGGUGGAGCAUGUGGUUUAAUUCGAAGCAACGCGAAGAACCUUACCAGGCCUUGACAUCCCGGUCGCGGGCUCCUGAAAGGGAGCCUUUCAGUUCGGCUUGACCGGUGACAGGUGCUGCAUGGCUGUCGU